AUUGAACGCUGGCGGCAUGCUUUACACAUGCAAGUCGAACGGUAACAGGCCUUCGGGUGCUGACGAGUGGCGAACGGGUGAGUAAUGCAUCGGAACGUGCCCAGAGGUGGGGGAUAACGCAGCGAAAGCUGUGCUAAUACCGCAUGUGAUCUGAGGAUGAAAGCGGGGGACCAGGCAGCAAUGUUUGGCCUCGCGCCUUUGGAGCGGCCGAUGUCAGAUUAGGUAGUUGGUGGGGUAAAGGCCUACCAAGCCGACGAUCUGUAGCUGGUCUGAGAGGACGACCAACCACACUGGGACUGAGACACGGCCCAGACUCCUACGGGAGGCAGCAGUGGGGAAUUUUGGACAAUGGGCGCAAGCCUGAUCCAGCAAUGCCGCGUGCGGGAAGAAGGCCUUCGGGUUGUAAACCGCUUUUGUACGGAACGAAAAGGCUCUGGCUAAUACCUGGGGCUGAUGACGGUACCGUAAGAAUAAGCACCGGCUAACUACGUG
rnacentral:rRNA from 1 species